rnacentral:tRNA from 1 species
AAGGUGCGGCUGGAUCACCUCCUAACAGGGAGACAAAACCGAGCAUGAUGUCUGAGUAUUUAUUCUUAGGCCAUGUUCCUGUCACCUUAGGUCGAUCGGUACCUCAGAUUAAAAAGAAAUUCCAAAAGGAUUAAACCCUUUUGGCUUUUGAUUUCAGUUCCUAAACUUGUCUAGGUCACACCCCACAAGGGUUACUCCUGGGCCAUUAGCUCAGGUGGUUAGAGCGCACCCCUGAUAAGGGUGAGGUCCCUGGUUCAAGUCCAGGAUGGCCCAUUCGGUGUUGGGGGUAUAGCUCAGUUGGUAGAGCGCCUGCUUUGCAAGCAGGAUGUCAGCGGUUCGAGUCCGCUUACCUCCACUGAUCGACCUCUUGAUAACGAAGUUUCAGGAGACUUUGUUAGAUGUGAUCUAGAAUUUGUUCGUUUGAAUGAACCUAGCUUCUUGUCAAUAAACCUAAGAAUUUUUAGUUUGAUUGAUAGGACGCUGGGCUCGCUGCAAUACUAAUUGCAGGGAUGUUCAGUAGAACCUUGACAACUGCAUAGGUGAGUCUGGAAAGAAUAAAGCAUCUCAUGGAUGCAUUACUUUUAGACCCAAAAGUAUUAGUUUUCUGAUUAAUCAGAAUUCUAUUUUGGUUUUAAGUAGUAAUGUCAAUUCUUGAGCAAGAGCUAAACUCUAUAAUUUUCUUUCAAAGCAUAUAGUUUUGAGAGUUAGAUUCUUAAUUUUAAUUUUUUUAUUCUUUAGGUGAAAACUUUAGAUUAUUUCUAUAAGAAUUAGCCUAAUAAAUAAACUUAAAAAUUAAGAAGAAAGUGAUUAAAUUGCUAACUUUAUAGAGAUUAAUGGUCAAGCUACAA